AGAUAGAUAUUAUCAAAAAAAAAAAAAAAUUCCUAAGAGAAAACCAAAGCCAGAGCCGAAGCAGCUCCCUAGAUCCGAUCAGAUCCAUUCAACUUCAUCUCUCUCUCUCUCUCUGUUUGAUUUUCUCUCUCUAAACCCCCUUUCUCUCUUUCUGAAAUUUCCCUACACAGCACUCUUUUUACCCCAAAUCCUCCCAAUUAGGGUUUCGUCUGUUCUUGAUUUCGCUUUCAAUUGGAAGAAAAAUGCGCGGGAUCGAGAAGAAGAAGACGCAUGGUACCUGAAGCAUUCUUCUCCGCUGGAAAAAAAAGUGAAGGAAAGAAAAUAAAUAUUAUUGCAUGAAGCUUUGGUGCUUUCUAUGCUUCAACGAAGAAGAAGAGGUAGAAGAUAAAAAGAGUGAUAACAAUCUAAUGAAGCGUAACGAAGAGGACAUCUUCAGAAACGACGACGUCGUUUCGGGGACGGCGAUUCCUGUCGACGAAGAGGAAGAAGAAGAAGAAGAAGAAGAAGAAGAGGAAGAGGAAGACGAAGAGGGAGAAGACGGCGUUUACGACGAUGCCGCCGCUGCUCUCGUUUUUGGAAAUGACAACGACGAACUACCUGCUGUGCCGGUUUCCGGUGAGCUAUUCCGGUUGUUCGAGGGCUAUGGGUUUGGUUCAUGGGCCGGUCCGCGCCGGUCCGAGGGAGAGAGCAGCUCCGGUUCUUCCGCUGCUCCCACCGGUUCGGAGAGCCACAAGCGGCCCAAGGUUUACGCUGAUUUCGGUGAAUGUCAUUAUGGAACCUCUGCGUCUUUGAAUACUGGGAAGUCCACUGCAUCUGCUGACUAUGGAGAUUAUGAUUAUCUUCAAGGCUCGUCUCUUCAACCGACCAGUGAUGUAUGUUAUGAUGAUUUUACAUUGAUGUGUACUGGUGAGGAGAAUGGCUUUAAUGCUAGCUGCGCGAAAGACGGCGACAAUAGUGACAUUUCAAAGGGAGAAGACCUAGAAGUCAGGAUGGAUCUCACAGAUGACUUGCUGCAUAUGGUGUUCUCAUUUUUGGAUCAUCCCAACCUUUGCAAAGCUGCCAGAGUUUGUAAGCAGUGGCGAGUUGCUAGUGCUCACGAAGACUUCUGGAAGAGUUUGAAUUUUGAAGAUCGGAAUAUAUCUGUAGAACAAUUUGAAGACAUGUGUAGGCGGUAUCCAAAUGCUACAGCAAUGAGCAUAUCUGGUCCAACUAUUUACUUGCUGGUCAUGAAAGCUAUCUCUUCAUUGCGGAAUCUUGAGGUGCUAACCUUAGGAAGAGGACAGAUAGCAGAUACUUUUUUUCAUGCGUUAGGUGAUUGUUCUAUGUUGAAGAGAUUGAAUAUCAAUGAUUCUACACUUGGAAAUGGCAUACAGGAGAUAUCUAUUAACCAUGAGAGAUUGUGCCAUAUUCAGUUAACCAAAUGCCGUGUGAUGCGAAUAGCAGUCAGGUGCCCACAGCUAGAAACCAUGUCACUGAAGCGUAGUAACAUGGCACAGGUGGUUCUUAAUUGCCCUUUGUUGCAUGAGCUUGAUAUAGGUUCUUGUCAUAAACUUCCUGAUGCUGCAAUUCGAGCGGCUGCGACUUCAUGCCCACAACUAGCGUCUCUAGACAUGUCUAAUUGUUCGUGUGUUAGUGAUGAAACUCUGCGUGAAAUAGCACUGAGUUGUGCUAACCUUAGUUUUCUUGAUGCAUCAUAUUGCCCAAAUAUAUCUUUGGAGUCGGUUAGACUGCCAAUGUUGACUGUUUUGAAGCUUCACAGCUGCGAGGGAAUCACUUCAGCCUCAAUGGCUGCAAUAGCUCAUAGUUAUAUGUUGGAGGUUUUGGAGCUUGACAAUUGCAGUCUAUUGACUUCAGUGUCUUUGGAUCUACCACGUUUGCAGAAUAUUAGACUGGUACACUGUCGCAAAUUUGUUGACUUGAACUUGAGGACACUAAUGUUGUCUUCUAUACUGGUGUCCAACUGCCCUGCGCUUCACUGUAUCAACAUCACUUCAGAUUCACUAAAAGAAUUAAAAUUGCAAAAGCAGGAUAGUUUGACAACAUUAGCUCUGCAAUGCCAGUCAUUGCAAGAAGUGGACCUUUCUGAGUGUGAAUCUUUGACGAAUUCAAUUUGUGAUGUUUUUAGUGAUGGUGGAGGUUGUCCUAUGUUGAAAUCAUUAGUUCUUGAUAAUUGUGAGAGUUUAACAUCAGUCCGAUUCAACAGCACCUCGUUAGUGAGUCUUUCUCUCGGUGGAUGUCGUGCAAUUACUACCCUUGAACUUAAAUGUCCUAAGCUUGAGAAGGUUAUUUUAGAUGGUUGUGAUCAUUUGGAAAGAGCAUCAUUUUGUCCUGUUGGUCUUCGGUCUCUCAAUUUAGGAAUAUGUCCAAAAUUGAACAUUCUCAGCAUUGAAGCAUCGUCGAUGGUCUCACUUGAGCUGAAAGGUUGUGGUGUACUAUCUGAGGCAUCCAUUAAUUGUCCUCUCUUGACAUCUCUGGAUGCUUCCUUUUGCAGCCAACUCACAGAUGCCUGCUUGUCUGCUACAACUGCUUCAUGCUCCCUGAUUGAGUCGCUAAUAUUGAUGUCUUGCCCAUCGAUCGGUUUACGUGGUCUCUGUUCUCUGCAGUUUCUUCCAAAUUUGACUCUCCUCGAUUUAUCGUACACUUUCUUGGUCGACUUGCAGCCUGUUUUUGAGUCUUGUUCACAGCUAAAGGUAUUGAAGUUGCAGGCGUGCAAAUAUCUCCCAGAUUCAUCCCUUGAACCUCUUUACAAGGGGGGUGCUUUACCAGCACUACAAGAGUUGGACCUGUCAUAUGGAACCCUGUGUCAGUCUGCUAUCGAAGAGCUUCUUUCUUGCUGCACACACCUUACACGUGUAAGCUUGAAUGGCUGUGUGAAUAUGCAUGAUUUGAAUUGGGGAUCCAGUCUUGGGGAGAUUGCCGAAAUGACUGGUGUGAAGAUCCUAUCCCAUCCAAGUUCCUCUGAGAUUGUCCACGAGUCAAGUGGGCAACCCACACGGUUACUGCAGAAUCUCAACUGUGUCGGAUGUCCAAAUAUCAGGAAAGUGUUCAUUCCAUUGGCAGCACAUUGUGCCAAUUUAUUAUACCUGAACCUCUCUCUCUCAACUAAUUUGAAGGAGGUUGAUGUUGCUUGUCUGAACCUAUGCUGGCUUAAUUUAAGUAAUUGUGCUGCUUUGGAAGUUUUGAAGCUAGAGUGCCCAAGAUUGGCCAGCCUAUUCCUUCAGUCUUGCAAUAUUGAUGAGAAAGCUGUUGAAGCCGCUAUUGCUAGAUGCACUAUGCUGGAAACUCUUGAUGUUCGCUUCUGUCCAAAGAUAAGCUCAAUGAGCAUGGCUAGAUUACGUGCUGCUUGUGCUAGUUUGAAGCGUAUAUUCAGCAGCUUGUCAACUUCAUGAAUUUGACAAAGGAUCUUCAAAGUUAUCUAGUGCACUUGGAGUGAAGCUGCACGUGAUCUGUCAUUGAAGGAGUCGGAAAGCUGUAACCAAAUACGCCAAAUAAUGGCAUAUAAUGUACAAUGCCUAAAAUUUUGUACUAGCCACCGUUAACUUUUAAGUGUCUUCAUCUACCAUCUUCAAACUAGUUGAUGGAUAAUAAAUUUGUUACAAUCAUGACUAUUAGCGUGUAGACGUUGACAUUAACACCAUCGAAUUAUAAGAAUGGUGUUACAUGUACAAGUAUUUUUGUAACAAAAGUCCAACAAAGUUGGUGCAAAUCCAGUGGGAAAAAACAAAAGCGAGCAUAUGUGGGAUAUAUGUACCAUUUCUCUUCUUCCUACGCAAUUUUUUUGAAGUAUAUAGCACACAAUUUUGCACAUAACAGAAGCAAAUCG